UUUUACCUGUUGUAAGAUAAAAGGUGGUGCAGGCCACACCCCAGGGAAACUCCCUUUACAUUGGAUCAAGGAUGUGACCUUAGCAAGGGUGUUACAAUCCCACCCUAAUUCUCUUUAACAUAAAAUUAUGAUCACAAAAUGGAGGACAACCAUACAAUACUGGCAAUUAUGGCCCAGCCAAACUUAUACACACAUUUUUUGGGGGGAUAUAAUUCAAUCUAUGACACAUGGUAAUGGACGCAGUAGUUUAUGGAGGCAAUUAAACCUGUAGUCUAUUUCCUUCUCUGAUUCCUGGAUCUCCUUCUUCCACUUCCAUUCCAGGGCUUGGAGACGAAUUGCUGUAUCUUGGGUGGAUCUCCCAAGUUUUACGACCCCAGUCACUACUCACCGAACUUGGAGCUAAGGAAGCCUGGUUGUGCAGUGGUUAAGCGCUGGGCGGCUAAUUGAAAGGUCGGCAACUUGAACCCACCAGCUGCUCUGCAGGAGAAAGAUGUGGCAGUCUGCUUCUAUAAAGAUCACAGCCUUGGAAAGACCGGACUUUCUGGCUUGACAGACUGGAGAAACCCUGAGGAUAUGGCUCCCAACACCCUUUCAGCUCACUAAUGAGGUCACUCCUGAGGUUUACCCUUCAGCCAAACAUUAAACAGGCCCACGGAACAAAACAAGACUAAAGGAGCACACCAGCCGUGGGGAGAGUCUGGAAAGCAGGAGGAAACAGAUGUCCCUGAGCAGUGCUGACUUGGUGCUAGACUGGUGUGGCUGUUUCUCUGUCCUUCAGUGAUGAGGGAAGAGCUGAUCAUCUUCUUAGAGCAACCUGGUCAAAAGGCCUGGCAAAGAUCGGAGCAUUCAAAAGUGCAAAGGGAGACUGAGUAGAAUCACCUGGCAGUCAUCUUAUCUGGAUAGAUGCUGCCAAAAUGGCUGCGGCAUUAAGAGAUAUACUUGAAGCCCGUUAUAUAAAUGAACUCAUGCCUGCUUUUUAAAGAAUGGGAUUUCUCAUUAUAAUUAUCUGUAAGAAACAAA